UUUUUUGUCGCGAUCGUUUUUUACAUCCGUUAUUAGACCGUGGCAACGCGGAACAGAAAUGUCACCCACACAUUUUCUAGAGGGGCUGUUUAAAGCGGAACACAACAGUGCGUAGAACAUGCAUCUGCAGGUUUUUCUCUACUCAGAAGUUGGUGGAAGUUUUGCGCGAAUAUUAUAGUUGAAGACUUCAAGCAAAGAAGGAAAUAUAGAGAUAUCAGCAAAUCCCGGGAAGAACCACCGGUGCAGCCAAUGAUGAAUAUAUACCCAAGGACUCUGAUGGGGGACCGGAGGAGGAGCUUCAAGGCAGCCUGGUACCAUAUCCACCCCUGGCUUGAAUAUUCCAAACAAUCAGACUCUGUGUUUUGUUAUGCCUGCAGGCAUUUUAGCCUUCCCAAAGUCUCAGAGUCUGCAGAGUCAGAUAAUAAAGGGAACUUCAUGGCAAUUUAGAAACAAUAGCUAAGCAUGAUAAAACUGUGCAAAAAAGGUUGACUUCCAUUCAUAAUGCAAAAUAUACCAGCAAAGGGAUUCAGAAUGAGGUUCUGAGUUGUUUGGCAGACAUGGUUCGAACUAAAAUUAUAGAAGAAGUGAAAGACAGUGAGGUCUAUAGCAUAAUGGCAGAUGAAACAAAAGAUGUAAAAAAGAAGGAGCAGAUAUCUCUAGUACUCAGGUACUAUUUCAGUGGAGCUGUCCAUGAGAGCUUUCUCCACUUUGAAUCGCCUGAUCGACUAGAUGCAGCAGGGCUUACUGACAAAAUCAUACACAUAUUAGUAAGUCAUGGUCUUGAAUACAAAAACAACCUAGUAGGCCAAGCUUAUGACGGUGCUUCAGUUAUGAGCGGGACGCAUUCAGGUGUCCAGGCACGCAUUAAAGAACAAGCAAAGCAUGCUUUUUACAUCCACUGCAAUGCACACUGUCUGAAUUUAGUUUUAGUGGAUACAGUCAAAGCUAUCCCUGAGGUAAUAUAAUUAAAAUGCAAUUACAGUUACUGUGACAUACAGAAUAUGUAAUGCAAAAUAUAAAAAUGAUUAAAAUGCAAAUAGUUACUGUGACUGAUACUGAAUAUGUAAUGCAAAUGGAAAAAUAAAAUGGAAAUGCAAUUACAGUUACUGUGACUAAUACUGAAUAUGUAAUGCAAAUGUAAAAAAUUAAAUGGAAAUGCAA
ensembl:lncRNA